AUUAAUAUAUAUAUAUUUCUUGUAAAACAACUGUUGUACUCUAAAAAAGCUUAAACGGUUAGAUAACGGUGUUUAAAUAUUUUUAUAUUUAAACUCCCCCUCACGUCUGGCCUCAAGACUUUUUAAUCGGCUUGGCGUAACUCGAAUUCAGGACCUCCUACUCUGAUACCAUGUGAAACAACCGUUGUACUCUAAAAGCUUAAGCUAUUAGAUAACGGUGUUUAAAUAUUUUUAUAUUUAACAUUUCUAACUCAUUUUUUACUAGAUCG
rnacentral:lncRNA from 1 species